rnacentral:rRNA from 1 species
AGGAUGAACGCUGGCGGCGUGCCUAACACAUGCAAGUCGAACGUCCUGUCUCGCAAGAGGCAGGGAGUGGCGGACGGGUGAGUACCACGUGGGUUAUCUACCGUGAGGUGAGGAAUACCGGCGAGAAAUCGCCGACAAGACCGCAUAGCCUCGGUGCAAGCCGAGGAAAGCUUUCUCGAGAGAGGGAGCGCCACACGAGGAGCCUGCGCCCGAUUAGCUAGCUGGUGGAGUAACGGUUCACCAGGGCGACGAUCGGUAGCUGGUCUGAGAGGACGAUCAGCCACACUGGGAUUGAGAACGGCCCAGACUCCUACGGGGGCAGCAGUGAGGAAUUUUCGUCAAUGGGGCAACCCUGAACGAGCAACGCCGCGUGCAGGAAGAAGGUUUUCGGAUCGUAAACUGCUUUUCUCGGGGAAGAGAAUGGACGGUACCCGAGGAAUCAGCCCGGCUAACUACGCGCCAGCAGCCGCGGUAA